UACGUAGGGGGCGAGCGUUGUCCGGAAUCAUUGGAGCGUAAAGAGCGUGUAGGCGGCUUGGCAAGUCUGACGUGAAAGCCCGCGGCUCAACCGCGGAUUGUCGUUGGAAACUGCCUCGCUAGAGUCCGGAAGAGGAGAGCGGAAUUCCUGGUGUAGCGGUGGAAUGCGCAGAUAUCAGGAAGAACACCCGUGGCGAAGGCGGCUCUCUGGGACGGUACUGACGCUGAGACGCGAAAGCGUGGGAGCGAACAGG
rnacentral:rRNA from 1 species